AGUGAACGCUGGCGGCGUGCUUAACACAUGCAAGUCGAACGAGAACGGGUCUAGCUUGCUAGACUGUCAGCUAAGUGGCGGACGGGUGAGUAAUGUAUAGUUAAUCUGCCCUUUAGAGGGGGAUAACAGUUGGAAACGACUGCUAAUACCCCAUACUCCUUUUACAUUAAUUGUAAUUGGGAAAUGUUUUUUCGCUAAAGGAUGAGACUAUAUGGUAUCAGCUAGUUGGUGAGGUAAUGGCUCACCAAGGCAAUGACACCUAGCUGGUCUGAGAGGAUGAUCAGCCACACUGGAACUGAGACACGGUCCAGACUCCUACGGGAGGCAGCAGUGGGGAAUAUUGCACAAUGGAGGAAACUCUGAUGCAGCAACGCCGCGUGGAGGAUGACACAUUUCGGUGCGUAAACUCCUUUUAUAUGGGAAGAUAA
rnacentral:rRNA from 1 species